rnacentral:rRNA from 1 species
AUUGAACGCUGGCGGCAUGCUUUACACAUGCAAGUCGAACGGUAACAGGCCGCAAGGUGCUGACGAGUGGCGAACGGGUGAGUAAUGCAUCGGAACGUGCCCAGUCGUGGGGGAUAACGCAGCGAAAGUUGCGCUAAUACCGCAUACGAUCUGAGGAUGAAAGCGGGGGACCGUAAGGCCUCGCGCGAUCGGAGCGGCCGAUGUCAGAUUAGGUAGUUGGUGGGGUAAAGGCUCACCAAGCCAACGAUCUGUAGCUGGUCUGAGAGGACGACCAGCCACACUGGGACUGAGACACGGCCCAGACUCCUACGGGAGGCAGCAGUGGGGAAUUUUGGACAAUGGGCGAAAGCCUGAUCCAGCAAUGCCGCGUGCAGGAAGAAGGCCUUCGGGUUGUAAACUGCUUUUGUACGGAGCGAAAAGGUCUCCUCUAAUACAGGGGGCUCAUGACGGUACCGUAAGAAUAAGCACCGGCUAACUACGUGCCAGCCGCCGCGGUAAGAC